AUACGGAGGGGACUAGCGUUGUUCGGAAUCACUGGGCGUAAAGCGUACGUAGGCGGAUCAGAAAGUAUGGGGUGAAAUCCCAGGGCUCAACCCUGGAACUGCCUCAUAAACUCCUGGUCUUGAGUUCGAGAGAGGUGAGUGGAAUUCCGAGUGUAGAGGUGAAAUUCGUAGAUAUUCGGAGGAACACCAGUGGCGAAGGCGGCUCACUGGCUCGAUACUGACGCUGAGGUACGAAAGUGUGGGGAGCAAACAGGAUUAGAAACCCUAGUAGUCC
rnacentral:rRNA from 1 species